ensembl:lncRNA
CAUCUUUGCAAUAGCACGGUUACGUGAAACAAGGGCGUAGAUUUGGCAUGGACAGAAGGGACAUGUCCCCACCAAUAUCCAGCGAUUAUUGAAUUGUCCCCACCAAUAAGAUAUCUUUGGGUAAAGAAAAACAAACCCGAUAGAAAGAAAAAAACGAUCUGUCAACGUCUCAUUCACCUAGCGGUGCAGAAAGAGUUAAACUGGAGUCCUACAUCAUGUGACAAAUAUGGUCAAUGUGAUUGGCUGUGCCUUUCAGGGAGCUCUGUUUAGUUUUAGCAGCGGCAAGCUCCUCUCCUCCUGUGCGGACCUGCAAGGAGGAGAGGAGGGUGGCAGCAAAAAGGAAGAACCUGGAUAUAAGAAAGUAUUUUUCAAAGAAACCUGUGGCAAACAGGACGGUCAACCCAUCAAAGCAAAAACCACAGAAGAGAAAGAGACCUGGAAUGUGGGGCCCAUUGGGCCAGUAGUUUACCCAUCAUACAUUGCUGCAACCAGAAACUCCUUCCUGCAUUUUUCCAUUGACCUGGGUGCUUCAAUAAUCGACGCAUAUAAACUAUCAAAACAACAGAUUCUCUGCAAACAUGUUGCAACAUUGCAGUUGGUGCAGCAGUCACCUCGCAUACAUGACCAAAAUAGACAGAUGUUUGAGCCAGCUCACUAGAUUUCUCUGAAAAGUCAGAAAUUAAACACAAAUAACAUUUAACCACUAAAACUAAUUUCGGAAGUAAAUAUAAGGCGGAGUAUUAGGGCCACAUUAGGAAAAUAAAAUAUUUUGAUCGAUUUGAGAAUAAAGUCAAACUUUCAAGAUUAAAUUUGAAAAUCUAUUUUGAGCAAAGCAUCGAAAUGUUGUUGUUUCAAGACAAACUGCCAUGUUUCUUAUACCCUCUACAAAAUGCCUUGCGUAGAUGAAUUAGCCAUUUCAAAUUGUACAAAUCCACUCUUCCAAGUUUGUGUGUUUCCGUCUGACCAGAUGCAGCUUUCUGCACCAUCAUUUCAACGUCCUUUUACUUAUCACCAUAAUAUGUUUGUGUGCUAAAAGAGAAAUCAUUUCCUUCCUUGUUACUUAAGCCAAUUCUGAAGUGCAAUUUCACUCAGAGGGUACAGCAACCAUGGCUGAUUGUCUUGAAACAAAAUAGAAUUACAAUGUUAUUCUCAAAAUGAUCAUUAAUAUUUUUUUAUCUUUAUGUGGCCCUAAUACUACUUUGUAUAAAUAACCUUGGCAUCUUAAUUUUUUUUAAAACUCCUAAAGCACUUAACUGUUUUCAGGUUGUUUUGGUAAAACUAUGAAUUUGAAAAAUCGUAGAUAACAACAAUAAUUAUUUUUAUGUUAUAAAAAUGUAUAAACAUUGCAUGUUGGAGGAUUAACCACAGGAACAUACAAAGUGGUUUUGGUAAACCUUCCACUGGAUAGUAAUAAUAAUUUUGUUAAGUACUGCAUGUGCUGAGUAUAAACUGGACUAAUAAAAUAUUUAAUGCACUUCACAUUUGUGUGAAUUAGACUGAUAUUCUGAAAAGAAGCUGUGUAGUAAAUUGUAAGAUUAUCAGAUGAUGACAAAUAAAAAGAUAAGAUGGUGUUAAACACAGUGCCAGAAAAUCAGAUGAGUGAGUGUAAAAUGUACUGAUUGACACCGUGUUUGUUAUUCUAGAUGAAUAUUUGCUUCUCCUUCAAACCCCUGACUCACUGACUUUGAAUAACUGUAAAACUUCCACAUGUCUUCUGAAAAUUUUAUUCAGUAACUUACUGACUUACCUGUGUUGGUUUUAAGACAGUGAAAGAAGAUUUUUCUAAUCACUGUAUUUUAAAAAAAAAAAAAAAAGUUUGAUCAGACAAUCUGUUCUUGCACUGAGUAUGCAACAUCAAAACACAAGACGCUUUUCUAUAUGCAAUAAAAUCCCUAUUUUCUUUGUAACACUGACUGAAACUGUCAAUCCUUUUCGAGCAGAGGCACAGUCACAUCACUGUCUCACUGGGCUCUUCCCAAUAUUACACAGUAUGUAACUGGUGGUCACAAGCAAACACUACAAAAUAAGACUUCUG